CUGGCGGCGUGCCUAAUACAUGCAAGUCGAACGAACUCUGGUAUUGAUUGGUGCUUGCAUCAUGAUUUACAUUUGAGUGAGUGGCGAACUGGUGAGUAACACGUGGGAAACCUGCCCAGAAGCGGGGGAUAACACCUGGAAACAGAUGCUAAUACCGCAUAACAACUUGGACCGCAUGGUCCGAGUUUGAAAGAUGGCUUCGGCUAUCACUUUUGGAUGGUCCCGCGGCGUAUUAGCUAGAUGGUGRGGUAACGGCUCACCAUGGCAAUGAUACGUAGCCGACCUGAGAGGGUAAUCGGCCACAUUGGGACUGAGACACGGCCCAAACUCCUACGGGAGGCAGCAGUAGGGAAUCUUCCACAAUGGACGAAAGUCUGAUGGAGCAACGCCGCGUGAGUGAAGAAGGGUUUCGGCUCGUAAAACUCUGUUGUUAAAGAAGAACAUAUCUGAGAGUAACUGUUCAGGUAUUGACGGUAUUUAACCAGAAAGCCACGGCUAACUACGUGCCAGCAGCCGCGGUAAUACGUAGGUGGCAAGCGUUGUCCGGAUUUAUUGGGCGUAAAGCGAGCGCAGGCGGUUUUUUAAGUCUGAUGUGAAAGCCUUCGGCUCAACCGAAGAAGUGCAUCGGAAACUGGGAAACUUGAGUGCAGAAGAGGACAGUGGAACUCCAUGUGUAGCGGUGAAAUGCGUAGAUAUAUGGAAGAACACCAGUGGCGAAGGCGGCUGUCUGGUCUGUAACUGACGCUGAGGCUCGAAAGUAUGGGUAGCAAACAGGAUUAGAUACCCUGGUAGUCCAUACCGUAAACGAUGAAUGCUAAGUGUUGGAGGGUUUCCGCCCUUCAGUGCUGCAGCUAACGCAUUAAGCAUUCCGCCUGGGGAGUACGGCCGCAAGGCUGAAACUCAAAGGAAUUGACGGGGGCCCGCACAAGCGGUGGAGCAUGUGGUUUAAUUCGAAGCUACGCGAAGAACCUUACCAGGUCUUGACAUACUAUGCAAAUCUAAGAGAUUAGACGUUCCCUUCGGGGACAUGGAUACAGGUGGUGCAUGGUUGUCGUCAGCUCGUGUCGUGAGAUGUUGGGUUAAGUCCCGCAACGAGCGCAACCCUUAUUAUCAGUUGCCAGCAUUAAGUUGGGCACUCUGGUGAGACUGCCGGUGACAAACCGGAGGAAGGUGGGGAUGACGUCAAAUCAUCAUGCCCCUUAUGACCUGGGCUACACACGUGCUACAAUGGAUGGUACAACGAGUUGCGAACUCGCGAGAGUAAGCUAAUCUCUUAAAGCCAUUCUCAGUUCGGAUUGUAGGCUGCAACUCGCCUACAUGAAGUCGGAAUCGCUAGUAAUCGCGGAUCAGCAUGCCGCGGUGAAUACGUUCCCGGGCCUUGUACACACCGCCCGUCACACCAUGAGAGUUUGUAACACCCAAAGUCGGUGGGGUAACCUUUUAGGAACCAGCCGCCUAAGGUGGGAC
rnacentral:rRNA from 1 species